rnacentral:rRNA from 1 species
GAUGAACGCUGGCGGCGUGCCUAAUACAUGCAAGUCGAGCGAACAGAUAAGGAGCUUGCUCCUUUGACGUUAGCGGCGGACGGGUGAGUAACACGUGGGUAACCUAACUAUAAGACUGGGAUACCUUCGGGAAACCGGAGCUAAUACCGGAUAACAUUUGGAACCGCAUGGUUCUAAAGUGAAAGAUGGUUUUUCUAUCACUUAUAGAUGGACCCGCGCCCGAUUAGCUAGUUGGUAAGGUAACUGCUUACCAACGCGACGACGCGUAGACGACCCGAGGGGGUGAUGCGCCACACGGGAACUGAGACAGGUCACAGACUCCUACGGGGGGCAGCAGUAGGGAAUCUUCCGCAAGGGGCGAAAGGCUGACGGAGGAACGCCGCGGGAGUGAUGAAGGGGUUCGGCUCGGAAAACUCUGUUAUUAGGAAAGAACAAAUGUGUAAGUAACUGGGCUCGUCUUGACGGUACCUAAUCAGAAAGCCACGGCUAACUACGUG